rnacentral:rRNA from 1 species
UGCAGCCAUGCCGCGUGAGUGAAGAAGGCCUUUGGGUUGUAAAGCUCUUUCGUCGGGGAAGAAAAUGACUGUACCCGAAUAAGAAGGUCCGGCUAACUUCGUGCCAGCAGCCGCGGUAA